rnacentral:rRNA from 1 species
UAUUUGCCGGAAAACUACGGGCCACAGCUUAAAACUCAAAGGACUUGGCGGUACUUUAUAUCCUUCUAGAGGAGCCUGUUCUAUAAUCAAUAAACCCCGUUAUACCUCACCACCCCUUGCUAAUACAGCCAAAAUACCGCCUUCUUCAGCAAACCCUAAAAAGGAGCAAAAGUAACCAAAAAAAUCCCCAUAAAAACGUUAGGUCAGGGGGUACCCAAUGAGGGGGAAAGCAAGGGGCUACUUUUUCUUAUAAAAAACAUUACCCUACCCUUUAUAAAACUAAAGGACAAAGGAGGAUUUAUUAUUAAAUUAAAAAUAAAAAGCUUAAUUGAAUAAAGCAAUGAAUUACUUACCCCCCGCCGG